UUGCACGAGUUCAGACUCGUAGCAUAUAGCUCAGUAACACGUGGCCAAACUACCCUACAGACCGCGAUAACCUCGGGAAACUGAGGCCAAUAGCGGAUAUAACUCUCAGACUGGAGUGUCGAGAGUUAGAAACGUUCCGGCGCUGUAGGAUGUGGCUGCGGCCGAUUAGGUAGAUGGUGGGGUAACGGCCCACCAUGCCGAUAAUCGGUACAGGUUGUGAGAGCAAGAGCCUGGAGACGGUAUCUGAGACAAGAUACCGGGCCCUACGGGGCGCAGCAGGCGCGAAACCUUUACACUGCACGACAGUGCGAUAGGGGGACUCCGAGUGUGAGGGCAUAUAGCCCUCGCUUUUCUGUACCGUAAGGUGGUACAGGAACAAGGACUGGGCAAGACCGGUGCCAGCCGCCGCGGUAAUACCGGCAGUCCAAGUGAUGGCCGAUAUUAUUGGGCCUAAAGCGUCCGUAGCUUGCUGUGUAAGUCCAUUGGGAAAUCGACCAGCUCAACUGGUCGGCGUCCGGUGGAAACUACACAGCUUGGGGCCGAGAGACUCAACGGGUACGUCCGGGGUAGGAGUGAAAUCCUGUAAUCCUGGACGGACCACCAAUGGGGAAACCACGUUGAGAGACCGGACCCGACAGUGAGGGACGAAAGCCAGGGUCUCGAACCGGAUUAGAUACCCGGGUAGUCCUGGCUGUAAACAAUGCUCGCUAGGUAUGUCACGCGCCAUGAGCACGUGAUGUGCCGUAGUGAAGACGAUAAGCGAGCCGCCUGGGAAGUACGUCCGCAAGGAUGAAACUUAAAGGAAUUGGCGGGGGAGCACCACAACCGGAGGAGCCUGCGGUUUAAUUGGACUCAACGCCGGACAUCUCACCGGUCCCGA
rnacentral:rRNA from 1 species